rnacentral:rRNA from 1 species
AGAGUUUGAUCCUGGCUCAGAACGAACGCUGGCGGCAUGGCUAAGACAUGCAAGUCGAACGAUCACUUCGGUGAGAGUGGCGAACGGGCGAGUAAUAGAUAGGUGACCUACCAGGGACUCGGGGAUAGCCGCGGGAAGCUGCGGGUAAUACCCGAUGAUGUCGGUUCGGCAGCAAGGCCGACCGAGCAAAGCUCCGGCGGUCCGGGACGGGCCUAUCCCCUAUCAGGUUGUUGGUGAGGUAACGGCUCCCCAAGCCUAAGACGGGUAGCGGGACUGAGAGGUUGACCCGCCGCAUCGGGACUGAGACACUGCCCGGACACCUACGGGUGGCUGCAGUAACGAAUAUUGGACAAUGGGCGAAAGCCUGAUCCAGCAAUGCCGCGUGCAGGAUGAAGUCCCUCGGGAUGUAAACUGCUGUCAGCGGUAUGGAAGAUCUGACCUUACCCAAAGGAAGGUCCGGCUAACUUCGUGCCAGCAGCCGCGGUAAGACGAAGGGGCCAAGCGUUGUUCGGAAUUACUGGGCUUAAAGAGCGCGUAGGCGGCCUGGAAGGUGUCGCGUGAAAUCCCUCGGCUCAACCGAGGAAUGGCACGGCAAACCAUCAGGCUUGAGGCAGAUAGGGGCGACUGGAACUCUAGGUGGAGCGGUGAAAUCGUUGAUAUCUAGGGGAACGCCGGUGGUGAAAACGGGUCGCUGGGUCUGUCCUGACGCUGAGGCGCGAAAGCGUGGGGAGCGAACGGGAUUAGAUACCCCGGUAGUCCACGCCGUAAACGAUGCGCACUAGGUUCGAGCAGCUCUGAGGUUGCUCGGGCCGAAGCAAAAGUGUUAAGUGCGCCGCCUGGGGAGUACGGCCGCAAGGCUAAAACUCAAAGGAAUUGACGGGGGCUCACACAAGCGGUGGAGCAUGUGGCUCAAUUCGAAACAACGCGAAGAACCUUACCUGGGUUUGACAUGUGCGGAUGCCCUCUUGGAAACAGGAGUAGGUUGCCUUCGGGUGAAACGUGCACAGGUGCUGCAUGGCUGUCGUCAGCUCGUGCUGUGAAGUGUCGGGUUAAGUCCCUUAACGAGCGAAACCCCUGUCGCUAGUUGCCAGCGGGUCGUGCCGGGGACUCUAGCGAGACUGCCGGUGUUAAACCGGAGGAAGGUGGGGAUGACGUCAAGUCCUCAUGGCCUCUAUGCCCAGGGUUGCACACGUGCUACAAUGGCGGGUACAGACCGACGCGAAACCGUGAGGUGGAGCCAAUCGGACAAAGCCCGCCCCAGUUCAGAUUGCAGGCUGCAACCCGCCUGCAUGAAGGUGGAAUCGCUAGUAAUCGCGUAUCAGCUACGACGCGGUGAAUGUGUUCCUGAGCCUUGUACACACCGCCCGUCAAGUCAUGGAAGCCGGGAGUACCCGAAGUCGCCACGGUCCAGUGGCGCCGACGGUAAGCUCGGUGACUGGGACUAAGUCGAAACAAGGUA